UACAUAGGGGUGCAAAGCGUUUGUCCCGGAAUUAUUGGGGCGUAAAGAGUUCGUAGGUGGUUCGUUACGUCGGAUGUGAAAAUCUGGGGCUCAACCCCAGACCUGCAUUCGAUACGGGCGAGCUAGAGUUUGGUAGGGGAGACUGGAAUUCCUGGUGUAGCGGUGGAAUGCGCAGACUAUCAGGAGGAACACCAAUGGCGAAGGCAGCCCCCCUGGGAUAAUAUUGACGCUCAUGCACGAAAGCGUGGGGAGCAAACAGG
rnacentral:rRNA from 1 species